AAACCCCUCUGAUCUGCUGUUAAGACUUCCUGUGCUCAAAAUGACUUACCAGCAGACUUGUUUCUACCUGCUCCAGAACUGUAAAGGAUAGGUAUUCUCAAAAUCCUCCUGAGCUCUGUGCCUGUGGCUGUACACUCCAGUCAAUCUGUACGUCUGACAUCUUGAUAAAGACUUGAAGAAAACUCCAGUUUCACUUCAAUUGCCUCCUUGUCAUGGGAAGGAGCUGAAUGGGAGGUCAGAGGGAGUCAGCGUGGUAAACCGUCCUAGAAAAGGACUUUCAAGAUUUCUUACAAGAGAAGCCUUUGAUUCAAAGCAAAACUUUGUGCCUUUCUCAAACAUUUGUGCACACCAAGGAACAGGUCUCCCAUCCUUGUUUCAGCAAGAUGGGCUGUCAUGGUUUAACCCCAGCCAGAAAAUGAAUGAAGAGCAUCUUUGUACAGCGGUGAGAAGUCUGUAGCUGGAUAAAAAUGAGGAGUUUCCAGUUGAGGCACUCGAUGCUGGUAUGUCUGGAAUCCCUCCACUCCCUCUGCACAGUGAAUGCCAGAGCUCUCAAGGUUUGAAGGACAAAUAAUUUUACUCCGCACCCUUUUCUGUAACCUGGCAAAUACAGUGCAUCCAUUGUGCUUGCUAAGGGAUCCAGGCUAACAACACUGUGUUUGUUUCUG
rnacentral:lncRNA from 1 species